rnacentral:rRNA from 1 species
CCUACGAGGGGCUGCAGUGGGGAAUAUUGGACAAUGGGGGCAACCCUGAUCCAGCCAUGCCGCGUGUGUGAAGAAGGCCCUCGGGUUGUAAAGCACUUUCAGUGAGGAAGAACGCCUGGUGGUUAAUACCCAUCAGGAAAGACAUCACUCACAGAAGAAGCACCGGCUAACUCCGUGCCAGCAGCCGCGGUAAUACGGAGGGUGCGAGCGUUAAUCGGAAUUACUGGGCGUAAAGCGCGCGUAGGUGGCUUGAUAAGCCGGUUGUGAAAGCCCCGGGCUCAACCUGGGAACGGCAUCCGGAACUGUCAAGCUAGAGUGCAGGAGAGGAAGGUAGAAUUCCCGGUGUAGCGGUGAAAUGCGUAGAGAUCGGGAGGAAUACCAGUGGCGAAGGCGGCCUUCUGGACUGACACUGACACUGAGGUGCGAAAGCGUGGGUAGCAAACAGGAUUAGAUACCCCGGUAGUC